rnacentral:rRNA from 1 species
UACGGGGGGGGCAAGCGUUGUUCGGAAUUACUGGGCGUAAAGGGCUCGUAGGCGGCCAACUAAGUCAGACGUGAAAUCCCUCGGCUUAACCGGGGAACUGCGUCUGAUACUGGAUGGCUUGAGUUUGGGAGAGGGAUGCGGAAUUCCAGGUGUAGCGGUGAAAUGCGUAGAUAUCUGGGGGAACACCGGUGGCGAAGGCGGCAUCCUGGACCAACACUGACGCUGAGGAGCGAAAGCCAGGGGAGCAAACGGG